AUUGAACGCUGGCGGCAUGCCUUACACAUGCAAGUCGAACGGCAGCACGGGGCAACCUGGUGGCGAGUGGCGAACGGGUGAGUGAUGCAUCGGAACGUACCUUUCAGUGGGGGAUAACGUAGCGAAAGUUACGCUAAUACCGCAUAUUCUGUGAGCAGGAAAGCAGGGGAUCGCAAGACCUUGCGCUGAUUGAGCGGCCGAUGUCAGAUUAGCUAGUUGGUGAGGUAAAGGCUCACCAAGGCGACGAUCUGUAGCGGGUCUGAGAGGAUGAUCCGCCACACUGGAACUGAGACACGGUCCAGACUCCUACGGGAGGCAGCAGUGGGGAAUUUUGGACAAUGGGGGCAACCCUGAUCCAGCCAUGCCGCGUGAGUGAAGAAGGCCUUCGGGUUGUAAAGCUCUUUCGGCCGGGAAGAAAUCGCACGGGCUAAUACCCUGUGUGGAUGACGGUGCCGGAAUAAGAAGCACCGGCUAACUACGUGCCAGCAGCCGCCGUAAAAC
rnacentral:rRNA from 1 species